UACGUAGGCAGCGAGCGUUGUUCGGAGUUACUGGGCGUAAAGGGUGCGUAGGCGGCUUGGUAAGUGUGGUGUGAAAUCUCCCGGCUCAACUGGGAGGGUGCGCUACAAACUGCCGGGCUAGAGUGCGGGAGAGGAGAGUGGAAUUCCUGGUGUAGCGGUGAAAUGCGUAGAUAUCAGGAGGAACACCGGUGGUGUAAACGGCUCUCUGGACCGUAACUGACGCUGAGGAGCGAAAGCGUGGGGAGCGAACAGG
rnacentral:rRNA from 1 species